ensembl:lncRNA novel transcript
ACACCUUCUUAGAGACAUUGAGAUUCCUGACUUGGGGUUACCAAUGCCUUGUGGCCUCAGCUGAUAGAAUGGACAAAGUAGAAUGCUCACUCUAGAAAUCCAUGGGUGGAGUCGCCAGACCUCAUCUGGAGUUGGUAUCUGGGAGAGCCAGGAGCGUUAUUACGAGCUGGUGUAGACCAGACAACCUGAAGACUGGUUGGAGUGGCAGAUGAAAGCCUGGGAGGCAGCACGCCAUCUGGAGCUGUCGAAAAACACAGAUGAAUUAGAGCAGAGAAAACUGUGGAGAACAUAUGCUGGAUGGAAUCGAAAUGCUCCAUAUACUGGAAAAACUGUUCCUCAGGAUCAACAACAAUGUUAAACAUGGUCCAUUUAAUUUAACAUUUUCAUUCCUGAACUCCUGUACUUCCUUAUUGUUCAUUUCAACACAAUUACAUUAGUAUUUCAGUCUUAAAAGCCGGCCCCCAAACAGCAAGACAAAUGAAUAUGCAGCACAUUCCCACCUGUACUUCUGUUUAUCUAAUUGAAAACAUGGAGGGAAUUUAGUGAAGCAAAUAUUAAAGUACCUUUUUCAUUUAACUCUUUGUUCAACAGACCAAACAAUUGAACACUGAAGCAGUCCAGAUCUCAUAUUCUUCCCCCCGAUAUCAUCCAUUGCUGCCUUAAUCACACCACUACAUGUGAACACAAUGGCUUUCUUUUCCUUUCUUUUUUUUUUUGGAGGAAGGGAAGUUAGCUAAAAUUGUAUUUUUCUGGAAUGAUAAAUAAACAUGAAUGGCUGAAUACAGUGUAUUCCAGCCUUA